rnacentral:rRNA from 1 species
GGGUCAGUAGGUUGGUCGUGCCACCGGUACGUACUGGUCUCACUGAUUCCUCCUUCCUGAAGAACCAUAAUGCCAUUAAUUUGGUGUUGCGGGGAAACAGGACCGUUACUUUGAAAAAAUUAGAGUGUUUAAAGCAAGCUAACGCUUGAAUACAUUAGCAUGGAAUAAUGAAAUAGGACGAUCGAUCCUAUUUUGUUGGUUUCUAGGAUUGACGUA